AACGAACGCUGGCGGCAUGCCUAACACAUGCAAGUCGAACGAGACCUUCGGGUCUAGUGGCGCACGGGUGCGUAACGCGUGGGAAUCUGCCCUUGGGUCCGGAAUAACAGCGAGAAAUUGCUGCUAAUACCGGAUGAUGACGUAAGUCCAAAGAUUUAUCGCCCAAAGGAUGAGCCCCGCGUAGGAUUAGCUAGUUGGUGAGGUAAAGGCUCACCAAGGCGAACGAUCCUUAGCUGGGUCUGAGAGGAUGAUCAGCCACACUGGGACUGAGACACGGCCCAGACUCCUACGGGAGGCAGCAGUGGGGAAUAUUGGACAAUGGGGGCAACCCUGAUCAGCCAUGCCGCGUGUGUGGAAGAAGGCCU
rnacentral:rRNA from 1 species